rnacentral:rRNA from 1 species
GAUAAACGCUGGCGGCGUGCCUUAUGCAUGCAAGUCGAACGGUCUCGAUUUAUCGGGAUAGUGGCGAACGGGUGAGUAACACGUAAGUAACCUACCCUUAAGUAGGGGAUAACCCUGAGAAAUCGGAGCUAAUACCUUAGUGGUGAUGGGGCUAAUGCUGCAUCACUAAAGCCUUAGGGCGCUUGAGGAUGGGCUUGCGUCCGAUUAGCUAGUUGGUAGGGUAAUGGUUUACCAAGGCGAUGAUCGGUAGCUGGUUUGAGAGGAUGGUCAGCCACACUGGGAUUGAGAUACGGCCCAGACUCCUACGGGAGGCAGCAGCAAGGAAUAUUGUGCAAUGGGCGAAAGCCUGACACAGCGACGCCGCGUGGGGGAAGAAGGCCUUCGGGUCGUAAACCCCUUUUCUCAGGGAAGAAUAAUGACGGUACCUGAGGAAUAAGUCACGGCUAACUACGUGCCAGCAGCCGCGGUAAUACGUAGGUGGCAAGCGUUAUCCGGAUUUACUGGGUGUAAAGAGGGCGCGGGCGGCUUUUCAAGUCGAGUAUAAAAUCUCCUGGCUUAACUGGGAGGGAUUAUUCGAUACUGUUGGGCUAGAGAGCAGCAGGGGGAGGUGGAAUUCCCGGUGUAUUGGUGAAAUGCGUAGAUAUCGGGAGGAACACCAGUGGCGAAGGCGGCCUCCUAGGCUGUUGCUGACGCUGAGGCCCGAAAGCGUGGGGAGCAAACAGGAUUAGAUACCCUGGUAGUCCACGCCAUAAACUAUGGACACUAGGUAUAGGGAGUAUCGAACCUCUCUGUGCCGAAGCUAACGCUUUAAGUGUCCCACCUGGGAACACGGCCGCAAGGCU